rnacentral:rRNA from 1 species
UACGGGAGGCAGCAGUGGGGAAUAUUGCACAAUGGGCGCAAGCCUGAUGCAGCCAUGCCGCGUGUAUGAAGAAGGCCUUCGGGUUGUAAAGUACUUUCAGUCGUGAGGAAGGUGUUAAGGUUAAUAACCUUAGCAAUUGACGUUAGCGACAGAAGAAGCACCGGCUAACUCCGUGCCAGCAGCCGCGGUAAUACGGAGGGUGCGAGCGUUAAUCGGAAUUACUGGGCGUAAAGGGCACGCAGGCGGUUAAUUAAGUUGGAUGUGAAAUCCCCGGGCUUAACCUGGGAAUGGCAUUCAAGACUGGUUAGCUAGAGUCUUGUAGAGGGGGUUAGAAUUCCAUGUGUAGCGGUGAAAUGCGUAGAGAUGUGGAGGAAUACCGGUGGCGAAGGCGGCCCCUGGGACAAAGGACUGACGCUCAUGUGCGAAAGCGUGGGGAGCGAACAGGGAUUAGAUACC